rnacentral:lncRNA from 1 species
AAGACAGGAAGAUGCAGGAUGUGUGACUCAUGCUUUCAUUUUUAAAAUGAUAAAAAUAACACCACAGACAAUUGCAAAUGUUGGCUCGCCGAUAAGAAAAAAAUUAUCCCGUGUUGUGGCAUGGGUACUGUAGAUUAUAGGCAAGCACUAUGGUAUCCACUGUGUUAUUUAAUCUCUGUCUGGACACUUAAGUGACCUCUGAU